AUAAAUACCGAGGCAUAGCAGAGCUUGGAGAUAUAGCAAGUCACAAAGCAAAACAGAAAACUUCACAUACAAGUCUCCAGGCUCAUCUCGUGUUCAAACUCGAUCACCAUGUCGGACAAGUGCGGCAACUGCGACUGCGCUGACAAGAGCCAGUGCACGAAGAAGGGAAGCAGCUAUGCUGCUGAUUUCGUGGAGACUCAGAAGAGCUAUGUAGAGACUGUUUUCGUGGAUGCUCCAGCAGCUGAGCAUGAAGGCCAGUGCAAGUGCGGCACCAGCUGCGCGUGCAUUAAUUGCACCUGUGAUCAGUGAGCACAGAGACCCCGUGCUCUAUGCAUGUUCUGUGGAAGUUACUGAUAAGUAAUAAUGUUGUUGUGGUGUGAUUUCAUUAUUGUCUUGUACUGUCCUUUGGCUGCUCCAGUGGCAUCUGCAUCAUGGUGCAGAUGCUUCACUAAUAAUGUCGUGUAUCCCAUCUUUAAGGCUCAAUGAACUAAUAUUUAGUAUAA